AUGAACGCUGGCGGCGUGCCUAAUCCAUGCAAGUCGAGCGAACAGACGAGGAGCUUGCUCCUCUGACGUUAGCGGCGGGCGGGUGAGUAACACGUGGAUAACCUACCUAUAAGACUGGGAUAACUUCGGGAAACCGGAGCUAAUACCGGAUAAUAUAUUGAACCGCAUGGUUCAAUAGUGAAAGACGGUUUUGCUGUCACUUAUAGAUGGAUCCGCGCCGCAUUAGCUAGUUGGUAAAGUAACGGCUUACCAAGGCGACGAUGCGUAGCCGACCUGAGAGGGUGAUCGGCCACACUGGAACUGAGACACGGUCCAGACUCCUACGGGAGGCAGCAGUAGGGAAUCUUCCGCAAUGGGCGAAAGCCUGACGGAGCAACGCCGCGUGAGUGAUGAAGGUCUUCGGAUCGUAAAACUCUGUUAUUAGGGAAGAACAAAUGUGUAAGUAACUAUGCACGUCUUGACGGUACCUAAUCAGAAAGCCACGGCUAACUACGUG
rnacentral:rRNA from 1 species